UAUGUAUUUCAAAGCAAUAGAAGUAAGUGGUUAUAAGGUUAUGAUUAGUAAGUGGUUAUAGGUUAUAAGGUUAUAUAUAGUAAGUAGUUAUAAGGUUAUGAUUCUCCUGGGUCCUAAAUUCUGUCAAUUAUUUUGUUAUUUAUAGUCCUUUUUUGAGAAUGACUUUUGGCUGAUGUUAGUCUACUGUUGACUUGUAUCUCAAGAUUUUUAAAGACCAUAUCUUAGUAUUUGGCAGUUUUUUUCAUAAGUAAAAAUAUUCUCUUAUUGUGUCUAUUCCACCUCAUUUUGUGUUUAGGCAUUUAUACCUCUAACUCAUUCAUUACAUUAUGCUGUAGAACAGUGACUGUCAACUUUUUUAGUGUAAGGACCAUCAAAUAAUAAUAGACUUCUGUUAUUAUUUGAUAAGGAGUGAAUAAGAACAAAUGGUGAAGUGAUUUUAUAAUGUUUUCUGUAUUUAUUUUUCCCCAAACUCCAGCUGUUUAAUAACAAAUGCCUCCCCACCCUCACCCCAUCACAGCAGCAGGAAAAUCACCCAUCCAAUUGUUGGGGGGAGGGGUGCACUGCAGAAAGCAGGGAACGGGGAGCAGCUGGUGAAGGGCUGGUCAGGCUCCUGCCCCCCAUGUCACUGACUCUUGGGAGCAUCAAGUUGGGCUGGCACAGAAGCCUUUCCUCUGCCCAGCCACCAGCAGGGAGCUCCAUCUAAGGGAGGCUGGGUCUCCAGCCAGAGAGCUUGAGAGGAAGCCAGGGCCGGCAGCGGGAGCAAGGGGAUGAAAAGGGAAGCGACUCUGGUCUGCCACCAAGUCUGGGUCUUCUGGCUUGCCUGUGCCAAGUCCAGCUGCCAGGGGCGGGCCUUGCCCAUCAAGAGGCUGCUGCCACUCACAUGGACCUGGCCUCCCUGGCCUUCCUCUGAGACCUCACAGCCUUGUUGUGGGCUUUAUGCUUCUCUGCCAAUUUGGUGUCCUCUUGGAUUUUGUGCCUCUUGCCAAAUAUGAUCUUGUUAUAAAGGUACUUCUCCUGCUUCAUCAUCCUGAUGGCCAGGCACUUGGCUUAAUUCUCCUCCUCUUGGGCCAGCCACUGCCUGUCCUCCAGCUUCACAGUGCCUGCCAUCACUCUGAGCUUCUUCCCCUCCAUCCUCUGCUCCUCCAGGGCUAUCAGUCAGGCCUCUAAUUCUUUUUCUGAAACUGGCUCCA